rnacentral:rRNA from 1 species
UUACACAUGCAAGUCGAACGAUGAAGCCCUUCGGGGUGGAUUAGUGGCGAACGGGUGAGUAACACGUGGGCAAUCUGCCCUUCACUCUGGGACAAGCCCUGGAAACGGGGUCUAAUACCGGAUAAUACCUGCCUGGGCAUCUGGGUGGGUUAAAAGCUCCGGCGGUGAAGGAUGAGCCCGCGGCCUAUCAGCUUGUUGGUGAGGUAGUGGCUCACCAAGGCGACGACGGGUAGCCGGCCUGAGAGGGCGACCGGCCACACUGGGACUGAGACACGGCCCAGACUCCUACGGGAGGCAGCAGUGGGGAAUAUUGCACAAUGGGCGAAAGCCUGAUGCAGCGACGCCGCGUGAGGGAUGACGGCCUUCGGGUUGUAAACCUCUUUCAGCAGGGAAGAAGCGAAAGUGACGGUACCUGCAGAAGAAGCGCCGGCUAACUACGUGCCAGCAGCCGCGGUAAUACGUAGGGCGCAAGCGUUGUCCGGAAUUAUUGGGCGUAAAGAGCUCGUAGGCGGCUUGUCACGUCGGUUGUGAAAGCCCGGGGCUUAACCCCGGGUCUGCAGUCGAUACGGGCAGGCUAGAGUGUGGUAGGGGAGAUCGGAAUUCCUGGUGUAGCGGUGAAAUGCGCAGAUAUCAGGAGGAACACCGGUGGCGAAGGCGGAUCUCUGGGCCAUUACUGACGCUGAGGAGCGAAAGCGUGGGGAGCGAACAGGAUUAGAUACCCUGGUAGUCCACGCCGUAAACGGUGGGAACUAGGUGUUGGCGACAUUCCACGUCGUCGGUGCCGCAGCUAACGCAUUAAGUUCCCCGCCUGGGGAGUACGGCCGCAAGGCUAAAACUCAAAGGAAUUGACGGGGGCCCGCACAAGCAGCGGAGCAUGUGGCUUAAUUUGACGCAACGCGAAGAACCUUACCAAGGCUUGACAUCGCCCGGAAAGCAUCAGAGAUGGUGCCCCCCUUGUGGUCGGGUGACAGGUGGUGCAUGGCUGUCGUCAGCUCGUGUCGUGAGAUGUUGGGUUAAGUCCCGCAACGAGCGCAACCCUUGUUCUGUGUUGCCAGCAUGCCCUUCGGGGUGAUGGGGACUCACAGGAGACUGCCGGGGUCAACUCGGAGGAAGGUGGGGAGGACGUCAAGUCAUCAUGCCCCUUAUGUCUUGGGCUGCACACGUGCUACAAUGGCAGGUACAAUGAGCUGCGAUGCCGCGAGGCGGAGCGAAUCUCAAAAAGCCUGUCUCAGUUCGGAUUGGGGUCUGCAACUCGACCCCAUGAAGUCGGAGUUGCUAGUAAUCGCAGAUCAGCAUUGCUGCGGUGAAUACGUUCCCGGGCCUUGUACACACCGCCCGUCACGUCACGAAAGUCGGUAACACCCGAAGCCGGUGGCCCAACCCCCUUGUGGGGAGGGAGCUGUCGAAGGUGGGACUGGCGAUUGGGACGAAGUCGUAACAU